CCUGUUUGUUCACCUUCCUUGGAGACAUUCGGGGUCUUCUUUGGAUCCCAUUUCUGUUGCCAGGACAUGGCAGAAGUUCAGAAACAGUAGAAGUAAAACCAACCCAUCACCAAAGUAGUAAUUAGUAAAAUUACUACUAAAGUGUCUCGUAUACACACCGGGAGCACUCAAACCAAAACGUGGAAUGAGGCUCAGAGGAAUGUUUGUUAUCAAGCGGCUUAUAUAGUGAGAAAGCAGCAGCUGUUUAUUCACAGUCUUUGGUUAUAUUAGAAUUUUCUUAAAUGGUAGGGAAUUGGUCAGUGUGUUACCGCCUACCAACUUUGGGAACUGUUCAAGUUUUGCUUAUGAAAAUCAUAAGCUGAGUAUAUCUCAACAUAAACAUGUUUUCAUUUAUCUUCCUAGGUUCAUACAACUGGAAUUGUUGGGUUGUAUGGUAACGAUUUUUAAGAAACUACUAAACUUAUCCACAGGGGCUGUACUAUAGCAUAUUCCCAUCUGCACAGUAUGAGGUUUUUGGUUUCUUUUCAUCCUUUCUAACACUGUAUGUCUUUUUCUUUGCUUAGAGCCAUCUUACUGGGUGUGAAGUGGUGCCUUCUUGUGGUUAAAUCCGUGUAGUUUUUCCUAAGGGAAAUGAUUGCUCUCUAGUGGUGCAUUCUGCACAUUACAAUUGGAAUAAGGGCACUAAUGAGAAGCCUAAAGCUAAAACUUGUUAAAACUUACAUUCAUUUCAUGUUGUUCCUGCAUCGCUUAGCACACUGAGUGCAAUUUGAGGCCCAAGUUCAAAAUGUUUUCCUCAUUACCACUAAGAAUAAUCCUCAGGAGCUGGCUGUUCGCUAUGGUUUUUACUUAAUCCCCAGAGGUACGGUAUAGUCAAAACUCUACGCUUUUGUGUUUCAGAUCUCCUCCACUCUAUGAGGCAGAUCUCUCAGUGUAUGGCUUUACACCUGUGAGCGGCUAAUGCCUAUGAAUAAGGGGAGGAAGAAGACAGAGACAGUUGUGUGGACUCCCACCUACCAUAUCCUUUCAAGCCAGAGCCAGAGAAGUGAGGAAAGAGUACCAGACAUUCAGGUGACUUGCACAAGGUAGAGGAUGGUUAUUGCUUUUGGCUGCUGGUCGUUUUUCCUAGACACUGCAUUAUGAAAGUGAGAAGCGUCCUGCUGGGCCAAGGCAUUCAGCCUUCAAAGUCAUUGGUUUCUGAGCUAAAGUUUUAUUUGGUCCUACUGUUCUCCAACUUGGAGGGCCUUGGGGGCGGCGGUAAUUCAUGCUGUUGCCUGUUUCAGUUAUUUCAUAUUUGCUGGGGUUUUAACCUUUAAAGCUUACUUUGCAUUGUUCAUGACUUUAGAACUUUUGUUUUAUGCUAGUUUCUUUAAAGGUUUAUCACUAAA